CAAAGGUCUUCUGGUCUGGCAUCGUGUCCGUGGUGAGCUGGGUCUCUGAGUAGCACAGGCUCUGCUCUUUGGACUUGUUUAGCUUCUGUCCGUGCUCCUGGAUGGAGGUGCAGGUGGUGAUGAUGCUCGUGUCGUACAUGGUGUUGCUGUCGUUGAUGUCAUCAGGCAAGGCAGGACUUUUCUCCACCUUGGGCAGCAUUGUGAUGGG
rnacentral:lncRNA from 1 species